CCUACGGGUGGCAGCAGUGGGGAAUAUUGCACAAUGGGGGAAACCCUGAUGCAGCGACGCCGCGUGAGUGAAGAAGUAUUUCGGUAUGUAAAACUCUAUCAGCAGGGGAGAAAUAAAGUCCUUCGGACUUUGGACGGUACCUGACUAAGAAGCCCCGGCUAACUACGUGCCAGCAGCCGCGGUAAUACGUAGGGGGCAAGCGUUAUCCGGAUUUACUGGGUGUAAAGGGGGCGUCGACGGCAGCGCAAGUCUGGAGUGAAAUCCCAUGGCUUAACCAUGGAACUGCUGGAAACUGUGCAGCUGGAGUGCAGGAGAGGUAAGCGGAAUUCGUAGUGUAGCGGUGAAAUGCGUAGAUAUUAGGAGGAACACCAGUGGCGAAGGCGGCUUACUGGACUGUAACUGACGUUGAGGCUCGAAAGCGUGGGGAGCAAACAGGAUUAGAUACCCUUGUAGUC
rnacentral:rRNA from 1 species